rnacentral:rRNA from 1 species
UGAGGAAUUUUGCGCAAUGGGCGAAAGCCUGACGCAGCGACGCCGCGUGGAGGAAGAAGGCCUUCGGGUCGUAAACUCCUGUCAGAGGUGAAGAAGGCCCGCAAGGGUUUGACGGUAACCUCAGAGGAAGCCCCGGCUAACUACGUGCCAGCAGCCGCGGUAAUACGUAGGGGGCGAGCGUUGCUCGGAAUUACUGGGCGUAAAGGGUGUGCAGGCGGCCGAUUAAGUCAACGAUGAAAUCCCGAAGCUCAACUUCGGAAUGGUCUUUGAUACUGAUCGGCUUGAGGCUAACAGAGGAGAGCAGAAUUCCCGGUGGAGCGGUGAAAUGCGUAGAUAUCGGGAGGAAUACCAGAGGCGAAGGCGGCUCUCUAUACUAGUCCUGACGCUGAGACACGAAAGCUAGGGGAGCAAACGGG